CAGAUUCAUUGUUGUUUUCUUCUCUUUUAGAAUCAUUGCUCAUUUUUUGUCGGAAAGGAGUAAGAUGAACACCCUCUUGCAAAUUAAAAUUGUAUGUGCGUGUUUACUGGUGGGUCUACAAAUCUAAUUCUUUCCAGCUCCAAAAACUGCUCUGACAAAUGACUGAUUCCAAAAUCAUCCAAGGCUUUGAACUGACAUGGAUUGUUGACAUGUUUCUUUAAACUGCGACGGAGAGAUACAGUUCUAGAUGGGAUGACUUUCAUCUGAAAUCUGAAGAACGCAAAGAGCCAGCCAUUGAAGGAGGAAGAAGUGGAAACAGCAGAUACAAAAGUCAUGAUAUAGGAAAACCUUGCUGUGCUCAGAAAAGAAAGGCCACUGGGGCUGGAACAUAGUCACUGAAAAGACCAGUGAGAGGUCUUGAGCUACAAAUUUGGAAGCCACCAGCAGGCAGACAAUAUUUAAAGCUAUGGGAGCAGAUGAGAUGGGACUAGGACAACUGAUGUUUAAAAGUAAAGAAGCCAGCAGAAGAGAUGGACAUAGAACAGUCAGAAAGAGUAUGAUGGUAAGAAAGCUAAGAGAUCAAAGUAUUUCCAGCAAAGAGUUAUCCCUGUACUAUGUUUUACUUCAAGGCCAACAAAAAAUAGAAGUGACCCCUGAAUUUGGUAACACGGAGGUUUUGGUGACCUUGACACACAGUGACAACAGAAUGGUGGGGAUGAAAGCCUGGUAAGAGUGAGUUCAAAUGUUAGGGGACGCUGAGGAAGGGAAGACAGUAAGUGCUCUGUUCUCUCUGGAAAAGUUCUGCUGUGAAUGGAAGCAGAGAGAUGAGAUGGAGGAAUGAGAUCAGGAGAGGUUCCAUUUAUUUUCUUUUCCUCUUAAGAUGAGAGAUACUGAAGCACAUUUGUAUGUAGCUAGAACGAUUCAGUAGAGGGAGGUAAAUGUUGGAGAAGGGUGCAAAGUCCUAGAGGAGAUGAAAAGAAGGGAAUCUGAUGCACAAGGGGAGGGACUGGCCUUGGAUAGGAGCAGAGACACUUCUGCCAAUGGCACAGGAAGGAAGACAGAGAACACAGUGUAGACACAGGAAGGUGUGUAGAUCUUUGUUAGGAAGACGAGUGGCCCAGUCUGAUUCCUUAAAAGUCAUUCCAAUUCAGUGCAGUUGUUUUAUGAAAUUUGAUGUACAUAUAAUAUGAAGACAUUAUAAUGAACAGGUUAAAACUGUUCAUCAGAAACAACUAGAAAUUUAAUCCUGUUAAAAGUUUUAAAUUUAUUAUCAAUAUAGCUAAUGUUCUAAAGCUAGUAUUAUUACUGAAGAUAAGUAAAGGAGGAUAUUUAACUACAGAGUGAUAUAAAAAUUAUUUAGAAGAGCCAUGAUAAAACUUAGGGAACAAAAUGCUAUUAGAAAUUACUUUCUGAUUAAUCCUUACAAGGUAAGUUAAUUAUUGG